GAACACCUCGCAAACGAUGAGUAUAAAUAGAAAAUAAUACAUAUAAAUCAUUUGGUGGACCAAAAUAUAUAUUUUAAACUAUAAUAUAUAUUCGAAAAGAUUAAAGAACUUUUUUAACAUACUGUACUGAGAUCAAAAUUGUCAAUCGUUGAUAGGGAACUAAGGCCCACUCGUGUUCAAUACAAUUGAGAGAUAUUCCAACAUGAGAACAUAAAUAUUGCCAUAUAAAAAUCGGAACUUAAAUUUUAAUAAACAUACCUACUUAUUAUAGUUAUCAAAUUCCUAUAGCUUUAACUUUUAAAUAAAUAUGUACAUUUUGAUUUAUAUAAGUACGUAUGUUAAUAAAUUUGUAAUAUACAUUGAUUCCAAGUAUUUUUGAAUGAAAUGUAUAACUGCAAAAGAGUAACUA